UACAGAGGUCCCAAGCGUUGUUCGGAUUCACUGGGCGUAAAGGGUGCGUAGGCGGUCGGGUAAGUCUGAUGUGAAAUCUCACAGCUUAACUGUGAAACUGCAUUGGAUACUAUCCGGCUAGAGGAAUGGAGGGGAGACUGGAAUUCCUGGUGUAGCGGUGAAAUGCGCAGAUAUCAGGAGGAACACCGGUGGCGAAGGCGGGUCUCUGGGCCGAUACUGACGCUGAGGAGCGAAAGCGUGGGGAGCGAACAGG
rnacentral:rRNA from 1 species